AAGUGGUACAUCCAAACUUGAAUGAAAUAGAGCUGUGAGGACAUUUUGAGGGAAGUGAUCUAGUCUACAGGUAUUUGAAAGCAUGAACCUUGCAUUGAUUCAAGUAAGAAGACAUUCGGGAGAGGUCCAAACGUCAGAUUUUCUUACACAGAAUGGAGAAGGAGCAGUUUUUCCAUUUCCCUGAAACGAAUUGAGUGAAGUUGACAGCAGGAUUGCAGAAGUGGGAGCACCCA